rnacentral:rRNA from 1 species
CCCUUAGAUGUUCUGGGCCGCACGCGCGCUACACUGAUGCAUUCAACGAGUCUAAAACCUGCUCUGAUAGGGGUGGGUAAUCUUUUGAAUGUGCAUCGUGAUUGGGAUAGAUGAUUGCAAUUUUUCAUCUUCAACGAGGAAUGCCUAGUAAACGCAAGUCAUCAGCUUGCAUUGAUCACGUCCCUGCCCUUUGUACACACCGCCCGUCGCUCCUACCGAUUGAAUGAUCCGAUGAAUAUCAUGGAUUGAGGAUGCAAGUAGGUUAGCCUAUCUUCAUCUUCGAGAAGUGAAGUAAAUCUUAUCAUUUAGAGGAAGGAGAAGUCGUAACA